rnacentral:rRNA from 11 species
GUGAGUGACGGUAAUGGGUAAAGAAGCACCGGCUAACUACGUGCCAGCAGCCGCGGUAAUACGUAGGGUGCGAGCGUUGUCCGGAUUUAUUGGGCGUAAAGGGCUCGUAGGUGGUUGAUCGCGUCGGAAGUGUAAUCUUGGGGCUUAACCCUGAGCGUGCUUUCGAUACGGGUUGACUUGAGGAAGGUAGGGGAGAAUGGAAUUCCUGGUGGAGCGGUGGAAUGCGCAGAUAUCAGGAGGAACACCAGUGGCGAAGGCGGUUCUCUGGGCCUUUCCUGACGCUGAGGAGCGAAAGCGUGGGGAGCGAACAGGCUUAGAUACCCUGGUAGUCCACGCUGUAAACGAUGUCAACUAGCCGUUGGGAACCUUA